rnacentral:tmRNA from 1 species
GGGGACGACCUGGUUUCGACAGGGGUUGCAAAGCAGUACAGGGCAUGCCGAGGACUGGUCACCUCGUAAAUCCAUCCAGAAGCAGACAACUGCAAACGACGAAGCUUACGCUCUCGCAGCGUAAACCCUUAGAGCUUAAUAACCUCUAACCUCGCACCGUUUCGUUCCUGGGACGGGCUGGCAACAGCAGCGAGGUCAUUUACAGGAACUCGCAUCAUGCCGGGUCACUUGGUGUGGUGUUAAAUCUAGGUGACUCGCUUUGACGAAGCGCGUGCGUCCGCGUCGGCAGGGUCAAAACCAAUUGGCUGCACUACGCAUGUAGAACUGGCUGUAGAGUACUUCUGGACGCGGGUUCGAUUCCCGCCGUCUCCACCA